CAAUAGCGUAUAUUAAAGUUGUUGCAGUUAAAAAGCUCGUAGUUGGCCUUGUGGCAGUUUUGCCAGUCCAAAUUGUUUUGGUACUUUGCUGAAUUGCCAUCUUUGGUCCUAACCGGUGUGGCAUUAGGUUGUCGUGCUGGGGAUGUCCAUCAUUUACUGUGAAAAAAUUAGAGUGUUCAAAGCAGGCUUAUGCCGUUGAAUAUAUUAGCAUGGAAUAAUGAGAUAGGACUUCGGUACUAUUUUGUUGGUUUGUGCACUGAAGUAAUGAUUAACAGGGACAGUUGGGGGUAUUCGUAUUCCAUUGUCAGAGGUGAAAUUCUUGGAUUUUUGGAAGACGAACUACUGCGAAAGCAUUUACCAAGGAUGUUUUCAUUAA
rnacentral:rRNA from 1 species